AGGACGAACGCUGGCGGCGUGCUUAACACAUGCAAGUCGAGCGGAAAGGCCACUUCGGUGGUACUCGAGCGGCGAACGGGUGAGUAACACGUGAGUAAUCUGCCCUCCACUUUGGGAUAGCCACCGGAAACGGUGAUUAAUACCGGAUAUGACCUCGCAUCGCAUGGUGUGUGGUGGAAAGUUUUUCGGUGGGGGAUGUGCUCGCGGCCUAUCAGCUUGAUGGUGGGGUAAUGGCCUACCAUGGCUUCGACGGGUAGCCGGCCUGAGAGGGUGACCGGCCACACUGGGACUGAGACACGGCCCAGGACUCCUACGGGAGGCAGCAGUGGGGAAUAUUGGACAAUGGGCGAAGCCUGAUCCAGCAACGCCGCGUGAGGAUGACGGCUUCGGGUUGUAAACCUCUUUCAGCGCAGACGAAGCGAAAGUGACGGUAUGUGCAGAAGAAGCGACCGCCAACUACGUAGUCAGCAGCCGC
rnacentral:rRNA from 1 species